AUGGCAUCAUUCAUAGCCCUCGAGCACCAUGUGAUUAUUUAUUUAUAUAUAUAUAUAUUUAUGAAUGGAAUAGAGAGUUAUAGAGAGAGAGUUAGAGAGAGGGAAAGAAUGCCAAAAGGCAAUGAAGCUCGCCAAGCUGUAAACAAUACCAUGCAGCCACUCAAUAGUCUAAUUAUACAUCAUUGGGUGAAGACAAAACACUGA